CCUACGGGCGGCAGCAGUGGGGAAUAUUGGACAAUGGGCGCAACCCUGAUGCAGCAAAGCCGCGUGAAGGAUGACGGUUCUCGGAUUGUAAACUUCUGUUCUUAGUGAAGAAUAAUGACGGUAGCUUAGGGGCUAGCAAUGGCUAAAUUCGUGCCAGCCGCCGCGGUAAUAGGCAGGUGGCAAGCGUUGUCCGGACUUCGUGGGUGUAAAGGGAGCGCAGGCGGGUAGCGAAGUCAGCUGUGAAAAGUACGGGCUUAACUUGUAGACUGCAGUUGAGACUGGCUUUCUUGAGUGAAGUAGAGGUUGGCGGAAUUCCGAGUGUAGCGGUGAAAUGCGUAGAUAUCCGGAAGAACACCGGUGGCGAAGGCAGCCUACUGGGCUUUAACUGACGCUGAGGCUCGAAAGUGUGGGGAGCAAACAGGAGUAGAUACCCGAGUAGUC
rnacentral:rRNA from 1 species